UCUCAGUUCGGAUCGGAGUCUGCAACCCGACNCCGUGAAGCUGGAUUCGCUAGUAAUCGCGCAUCAGCCAUGGCGCGGUGAAUACGUUCCCGGGCCUUGUACACACCGCCCGUCACACCAUGAGAGUUGAGAAUACCCGAAGCCCAUGUCAAAGUGGUCGAAGGUAGGCUUGAUGAUUGGGGUGAAGUCGUAACAAGGUAAC
rnacentral:rRNA from 1 species